ensembl:lncRNA
AACAAACUCAAAAGUGUGUGGAAAACCUACAACAAGUCAUAAAUCCACAAAACUCAAAACACUGGCAUGGAGUUAUCACUCCAGCCUGUGGACUGUGUAUAACCUGUGUGCACCUGAUCAGAUGCCUCUGUCAAUGAAUUUCAGAAGCCCCAAAGGAAGAAGUAUUCACUUAUCUCAUGAGGACUCUGCCCGUCCUCGCCUUGAUCACAGCCUUCUUCUGGCUCUACUAUGUAGGGAGCAAAGCUCAGCAGAACUCAAAAGCUUCUUCUGGAAAUAAACCAACUUCAAAUCAAAAGCAAGAGCAAGACGAGGAAGAGGAAGAAAGAGAUGGAAGAGCAGUAGAAGCAGCAAAUGAAUGUUAGAUAAAAGUGUCUGAUAAUUAAAUUUGAUUACAAAUAGAAGAACUAUAUUCUUUUGUUACUGAUCAGUUAAGAGUAUGUAUAGUUUUAUUCUUCAUUCAUUCAAAACAACAAAUGUUGGCACAACAAAAAGUGACUGCACAUGUAAAUAGAUUGAAAAGUG